UCACAUCAUGUUGCAAACACCGGUUUUCGUACGAUCAAUGAAGUUAAGCAACGUCGAAUCUGGUCAGUACCCUGAUGGGUGAUCUCUUGGGAAUACCAGCUGCUGUAAG